UAUACUAUAUUAACAAUAUAGGUCACUUAGUGUUUUCACAUACAACGACAUGGAGACGCCGUUUACGAAUGAUUACAGCACCACCUGUUGUCAGAAAAAGUCAAUAAUUGUAUUUUGAUCAAUUUUAGUUUAUCGUGCAAGAUGACAUUUCUCGAAAAAAGAUGUUAGGGGUGUCAAAGUUUUUUGUUCCCAAAUAAUCGAUUAAUAAAUAAUCGAUUUACAAUAUAGAUACACAACCAAAAUAAUAUUUCAUUGGAUGACAUCUACGAAUAUAUCUGUAGAAGAAUUUGAAUGCUCCCUCAUUGUAACGUCACCGAAAUCGUUUAACUUCGAAAUUUAAAAUUUUCACCCUCAAAAUUAACUUAUAUUUUGCCCUGGUGGUUGCUCUUUUCCUUUGACAAUGGCUUUUAGUAUCAUCUCUCUUAAUGUCCACGCUGACAUACAUACAUAGGAUUGGAUAGCUUACAAAAAAACUCGGAAGAUCACCAACCAAGUGCACGUCAAGUUUCUUGUGGCAUACUGCAAGACAUUGCAGCCAAGGGUGCACAAGCUAAUGGACCGAUGCACGAACUUAAUAAUUUCAACGUUUGAGCGGCGUUCUUACAAAAAAUGAGCUUCGGGAUCGGACCUGAGAAUGGAACCCGUCAAAUUUAAUUUCGAAUAAUUUCGUUGUUCUUCCGAAGUGAACUGUGAGUUUAUUCGAAUACUGAUUGUUUUAUUCCGGACUAAUCGGUUUGCUUUGUUGUUGGAUGUGUGAACAUUGUGCUGUCAAAGAUUGAACAUUUACACGAUCGUCGCGAAAUCCUCGCAAGACUCAAUAUUUUAAAUAUACAGUCAUGGGCUUCUGGGUGAACUUCAGGUAGUAGAAAUAUUCUAGAAAAUUCGUCUGCUGCAGAGUGAUAAUCCUCCAUCAAUUUAGUCAGACAUUCCUUCAGAUCUUUGUUUUGAUGGUUAAAAUAACAAAACAGUUUUUGUUUUCGUGGAUAGAAUCACAGGUCAAUCGAUAAAAUGACAGUUCGACCCGAACAAAAAAAAAAAUCCCUUACAAACUUCAAAUGCAUUUUAAAAAUAGUUCCCGCACUCCAAAAAUUAUGAAAUUUUGGAUUUCGACAAAUUUUUGGGUAGAGAAUCCGCUUAUAAAAUAAUCCGGAUACCCCUAAAGAACCCAAUUACAUUUCUUUUGCUAACCGGAAAAAUCCGCACUUAUCCGUUGCUAACCGUUGUUAACCGCGUCUAACUGCGCCUGCGGCUCAGUUAGCAGCGGUUAGGAACGGAUAGAUGCGGAUUU